AUUGAACGCUGGCGGCAGGCCUAACACAUGCAAGUCGAACGAGUGGCGGACGGGUGAGUAAUGUCUGGGAAACUGCCUGAUGGAGGGGGCUAACUACUGGAAACGGUAGCUAAUACCGCAUACCAUCGGAUGUGCCCAGAUGGGAGUAGCUAGUAGGUGGGGUAACGGCUCACCUAGGCGACGAUCCCUAGCUGGUCUGAGGGUAUGACCAGCAACAGUGGAACUAGGACACGGUCCAGACUCCUACGGGAGACAGCAGUGGGGAAUAUAGCACAAUGGGCGCAAGCCUGAUGCAGCCAUGCGGCGUGUAUGAGGAAGGCCUUCGGGUGGUAAAGUACUUUCAGCGGGGAGGCGUUACCCGCAGAAGAAGCACCGGCUAACUCCGUGCCAGCAGCCGCGGUAAUAC
rnacentral:rRNA from 1 species